rnacentral:rRNA from 1 species
UUUAUGGAGAGUUUGAUCCUGGCUCAGGAUGAACGCUGGCGGCGUGCCUAAUACAUGCAAGUCGAGCGAACAGAUAAGGAGCUUGCUCCUUUGACGUUAGCGGCGGACGGGUGAGUAACACGUGGGUAACCUACCUAUAAGACUGGAAUAACUCCGGGAAACCGGGGCUAAUGCCGGAUAACAUGUUGAACCGCAUGGUU